rnacentral:rRNA from 1 species
GACGAACGCUGGCGGCGUGCUUAACACAUGCAAGUCGAACGAAGAGCGAUGGAAGCUUGCUUCUAUCAAUCUUAGUGGCGAACGGGUGAGUAACGCGUAAUCAACCUGCCCUUCAGAGGGGGACAACAGUUGGAAACGACUGCUAAUACCGCAUACGAUCUAAACUCGGCAUCGAGGAUAGAUGAAAGGUGGCCUCUACAUGUAAGCUAUCACUGAAGGAGGGGAUUGCGUCUGAUUAGCUAGUUGGAGGGGUAACGGCCCACCAAGGCGAUGAUCAGUAGGCGGUCUGAGAGGAUGAACGGCCACAGUGGGACUGAGACACGGCCCAGACUCCUACGGGAGGCAGCAGUGGGGAACCUUCCGCAAUGGACGAAAGUCUGACGGAGCAACGCCGCGUGAGUGAUGACGGCCUUCGGGUUGUAAAGCUCUGUUAAUCGGGACGAAAGGCCUUCUUGCGAAUAGUGAGAAGGAUUGACGGUACCGGAAUAGAAAGCCACGGCUAACUACGUG